UCAUGACUUCCAGUUACCUCCCCUUAUUCACAAAACUAGUCAUCUGGUCAUAGAGCGCUACAUAGAAGGUUGAUUCCCACUGUGUAAGUCCAUGUCAACUACUCCCAACCACUUUAUUGUUCUUUGUUUGUUUAGAAAUGGUUUCCAGGAUAGUGGAUCCAUCACCUUCCCAGGGAUUGAGGUGAGGCCAAUCAGCCUGUAGUUUCAUGGCUGUAGCUUAUGGCCCUGCUGGAAAACAGGAAGGACAUUUGCUUUCUUCUAGUCCUCAGGAACCUCCCAAGUUCUGCUGAUGUGUCAAUCAGAAAAGGCCUGCUGCUUCAUCACUCAUGUGCAUCUGUCAGCUGGAAUGGUCUCCUGAUCUUCCUCCACUGAAGACAAUGCCUUCUCAAAAUCACAACAUCUCUUUGCUGGGUACAUUUCCAAGAUUAGCCAGUCCUGCUAACUCCUGCACAGUUUCCUGUCGAACUGCACAUGGAUUGCAACACCAUCAGCAUGAAUUUAUGAGAGUCUCAUUCCUGAAAAGGACACUAUAGUUUUGGAAUACUACAAUACAAAACAGGACACUGGCAUGGGGUGGAGCUUAUUGAAAACAGCCUGAAGUUUUUACAUUUUUUUCUGUCAUUUGAAGUACCAAAGACCUAUUCUUUAUUGUUUACUUCAUGUUACAUAAACUCAUAAGGGCAAUAAAC
rnacentral:lncRNA from 1 species